CGUUUUCUAUUUGGUAGCAUCCCAUUGCUAUCUCUGUAUCUCGCUCUCCGUCCAUGGACCUUUGAUUCACGUUUGCGGAUCCAAUCAGAAUGUACAGAUCGUCCACUGGAAAAUACCGACAUGUUCAUGGUGUUGCAAUUUACAUCAUCAAGGAGAGGGAAAGCUAGCUUGGAAUUCAAUGCAAAGGGUCUGUUUGGCAGUUGGAAAAACUUGUGGAAUUUUCCAUCUCAAUCUUAGAGGCAAGAGAAAGAGAAAUUUUUGCUUACAAUCAAGGUGUGAGGAGAAGCUUGAGGAGAGGAAAUCAAUCAUCAAAGAUAAUGAGGUUACCCUUUAAACAAAAUUUGGAUUCGCAGCCAAUGGAAGAAAAAUUAGAGCUCAAUAGUCAACGGUUCGAAGGACUAAGUUUCAAAUUGUUAUCAUAAGGACUUUAUGAAUUUGAAAUUGAAUAGAAUAGAUUUAAUGUUGAAAGUUAUGUGCUGAAGUAAAAAUUACGUUUUUUUGAAAA